rnacentral:misc_RNA from 1 species
AAGUCGUAACAAGGUUUCCGUAGGUGAACCUGCGGAAGGAUCAUUAACACGUAUCCAACGUUAAAAACACCCCUGUGAACCCGUUAAACUUUCUCCUCAGGCCCUGCACGCCUAGCAAUCCCUGGUAAAUCAUUGUUGACCAGCUUUUGAGUCAGGGACCUCUGCAGAUUGUGAUAUUUUAUAGCUACGGUUGAGCGAUUGCAUCUAGUGACCUGGCAUCCCCAAGUAAUCAGUGUUCUGAAAGUGUCAUUGAUUGUGUAAGGAUGGCGCAGUCACGAUCGCUGUAGGCCCACACGGCCGGCGACCGGGUCACCGGGCUCUGCUCCUUUACGACAACUACAGUCUAACUUCGCCGCGCGUGAAAUUCGCACGGCACCAAAAACCGAACAACUGUUAACAAUGGAUAUCUUGGUUCUC